UAACACCUUCUUGUUUCUUGUGUUAGUAGGAUUUAAACGUGUGCACAAUCCUUCCUCGGUGCAACACGAAUCACUUGGUGUCUCGUCAGUUUUUGGCAUCCUAGUACAAAUUAGGAUUCUUUGGUAGUUUGGUUCACACUCUCUAAUUGGUUGAUAUAAACUCUGAUAAAGAACUCACAAGAUUGAAUUCGACCUCAUUGAGAAUUUGAUUUUUCUUUUUGAGUGAUUAAUGGUGAGGUUUGCUAACUUUUAUUUUUGAGUGUUGAGUGUUUAUUUUUUACAGGUUUUGAAGAUGUCUAAAGGUGAUAAUAAUGAUGCACUUAUGAAAGUCCAACAACAGUUAGACAGACAUACUGCUGCAAUCACACAAAUAAAUGCUACACUUCAAGCAUUGAAUACUACUUUGAAUGAGGUACGAGUGAAUCAAAAACAUCAAUAUCGAGAUCCAAUUAAGGAAGAUAGGGAUAACCAGCCCCAUAGGUGCAACCCUCAACAUGUCCCUAGAAUGGAUGAUGAUUGUCAUGAUCAUGGACAAUCAUCUUUGGCAAAACCAAAGAGCGAGCAGCAACGAGAACAUCUCUUUCAUACUCGCUGCCACGUACAAGGUAAGCUUUGUAAAGUUAUUAUUGAUGGUGAAAGUUGCUCAAACAUAGCCAGCACGACGAUGGUGGAAAAGCUUUGCUUAACCACUACCAAGCAUCCACAACCUUAUCAACUACAAGGGCUUAGCAACGAAGGCCAAUUUAGGGUCACUCAACAAGUGCGCAUCGCCUUUUCUAUCGGUAAGUAUCAAGACGAAGUUGUGUGCGACGUAAUGCCUAUUCAAGCCUGCCAUUUGUUGCUAGGAGAACCGUGGCAACUAGAUCGAAAAGUCACUCACGAUGGUCGUACCAAUAGGUAUUCUUUCAAGCAUCAAGGAAAGAAACUCACCUUAGUGCCGCUCACUCUAGAACAAGUCCAUGAGGACCAAAUCAAACUGAAAAAUUCUGUUAAAACAAGUGAGGAAAAAGAAAAAGAGAAUGAAAAAGAGCAAAAAGAGAUUGAGAGUGAAAAAGAAAUUGAAGAAAGAAGAGAAAAUGAAUUAGAAAAAGAAACAAAAGAAAAAGACGUGGAAAGGGUAGUGAGGAAUGUUUCCACUAACCAAGAUAUGAAUUUUUCUUGUGUUGCUACUUUUCAGGUUCCCGAAAGAUCGAAAGAUAACUUUCAACUUCAAUACCUCUCAAAUGAAAGACGCUUUCAUACGAUCAACUUAAGCAAAGAUGAAAUCACACUACAUGAUCCCGAAGGUAAGCGAGGUAAGGAAAUUUUAGAAACCGAGUCCAGUGCAGAUUUGAAAAUUAUUGAUAAAACUUUUGGUGACUUAGUUCUUAAAAGAUCCCCUCAUUUUGAUCCGAUUAAUUGUUACUCUUCGAUUGUGGUUGAUAAAGUCAUUACGAAAAGAAGCGUGAUUUGUUAUUCUCUUGAUUUACCUUGUGUAAAAUCCUCGAAUUUGUCCAAAUCUGUUUUGGAGAAUAAGGUAACGAAAUUUUCCAAAUUUGUUUUCAAUUUAUAUUCGUGCCUUAAACAGUUUAUGUGGUUGUACAUGAAGUUUGAGUUCCAUUUGACAAAGGUUAACUCAACAACGGAGAUUCGACUACACUAUGCCCCCGAUGAGCGAAGGUUUGUUUUAAAUGAAAAAGGUAAAAUCGACCCCUAUUCUUCUGCUUAUCGAGGUAAGAUGCUUGAAACCUUUGAAACACUUUUGUACUCCUCGGAUAGUGAUAAAGAUCGUGUUGAUGAACACUUAGAUCGAAACGUGCUUGACUGUCCUAUUUUAUUUAUUGAUGAUCUAUCUAUUUUGAUGGUUGAUAAAAAGAUUCUUGUUUUUGAUAAUGCAUGUGUGAGUGAAUCUAUAGACCGUCGAUUAAUGCAUGGUAUGAUUAUGCAACUCUGUGAACCAUGUGAAUCUUUUCAAAUACCUACUUGUGACGAUUAUGUUUACCAUUUGAUUUAUUACUCGCAAUUUAUUCAUGGUUUGUGGGAACAAUGUGAGACGACUGAAUAACUUAAAACAUGUCCAUCUUUGUUUCAAAUAUUUGACGAGGCAGUGGUGAGUAAAUUAGAUUGUUUGCAUGGUAAUCUGAAUCUGUCCAUUCACAUGCGUUAUACCUGUUCUGUUAUGCUUAUGAUUGGACUACAAGCUUGUUUCCGUUGCUAUUUACUAUCUCAUGGCUAUUCUUUUCAGUGGACUCAAUUGCCAUUAGUCCCGUUCGAUAGAGGAAAGUCGAGUUCAUUUGAUUUUUCAGAUUCGAGGACGAAUCUUUUUGAGGAAGGGGGAAUGAUACGAGUCACAAAAGCCCAAAUUCUUGAAGGCGAGGCCCAAUAAGCAAAUUCCCAGCCCAAUCAAGAAAUCCAUCCAUACUUAGUUGAAAAUCAGGCCAAAUUGUCAAAGUGGCCCAAGUUGUAAAGUUUUAUUUUUAUUUUUAUUUAUUUAUUUAUUUAUUUACUUAGUUUAAAUUUUUAUGUCAAUAUUCAGCCCAAGAGUCACAGAUAAAAUGACCUUUGACCGAAUUUCCAUAUUAAAAUAAUUAGGAGUUUUUUUAUUUUAGUUUUCUAAUUAGAUUAGGAUUAGUUAUAAGGCCUAUUUAAAGGCAUGGCUGUCCACCUUGUUAAACACUUAUCAUUAUUAUUAAAAUUUCAGAUUUGUUGAGAGCAGAAUUUUCUUUGAGUUUUCUCCAAGAUUUCUCUCUUGAGUUUUCUUUAGAAGUUGUUUUAACAAUCUUUUUGAUUGUGGGAGCCAUCUUCAACCUUCUUCUUGCCAUUGAUAUUCUUUGGAGGGGAGAUUAGAGCCGUUUGAAGGGAGUUGUGAGAUCUUUCGAGAUUUCAAGGCUUCUUAGGACUUAUCUUUUAAUUUCUUACUGUCAAUUCUUUCUUUAUUUCUACUUGUGCUGAAUCAUUAUCUAAUCUAUUUUCUGUUCUUAUUGUGUUUUCAGCCUUUUUCUAUCUUAAGGAAUCAGCCCAAAAAUCCCCAAUUUCUAGGGUUUUUCCAUACUCUUUUUGGGUGAAAUUAGAUUGUCGAAAUUUGGGGAAAACUAUCUUGGUGUUCAAUUGGGCAGAAUCACAAUCUCCUUGAGGGUUUCAAGAACCCUAACACUUAUUUCUAUUCUCAAUUUCAUUCUUUGCUGAUUUGGGGAUUUUAUUUCAGAUCUGGAAAUUCAAAGUUCUAAUCUUUUAAUUUUUCUGUUUCGUUUCGGAUCUGAUUGUUUAGGGUUUUCGUAGGAGUUUCCCGUGACUUGGCAACUCGAUCUUGGUCCACGCGCAACCCCGUAUCACCAAGCUUAAGAAGGUGAUGGGCUCAAAUCAAGAAAAUCAAGAUUCACUUUCUUGUUUUCAAGAAAAUCAAGAAAUCAAAUCUUGGCCUAAUUUUGCUGUUCGGAGCGAUUUCAAGAAUCAAGAAAAUCAAGAUUUCAAAUCUUGGAAAUCUUGGUCCAAGAAAUCGAAUCUUGUAGCCAAAGCACGUUGGAUCUCCAUUACGAGCGUCAACGACCCAAUUUCGAUAGGAGAUGGAUCACAAGCCCAAAUUCUUGAAGGCGAGGCCCAAUAACCAAAAUCAAGCCCAACUAGAAAUUUCUUCAUACUUAGUUGAAAAUCAGGCCAAAAUGUCAAAGGGCCCAAUUUGUAAACAUCUUACUUGUUUAAUUUAAUUUUUUAAUCUUUAGGAGCAUUACAUGUAAAAUUCGGCCCAAAACAGCCCAUAUAAGUGCAUGGCCGAAUUUACCUUGUUAUUUUAUUAAUUAGGUUUAAUUUUUUAUUAGUUACUUGUGAGAUUAGGAUUUGUUGGAGGCCUAUAUAAGCAUUGGCCAGCCACCCUUUGUAAAAACGUCUUAUUAUUAUUUUUUCUAUCAAAUUUCAGAUUUGUUGAGUGCAGAAUUUUCUUUGGGGUUUUCUCCAAGAAUUCUCUCUUGAGUUUUCUUUAGAAGUUGUUUUAACAAUCUUUGGAUUGUGGGAGCCAUCUUCAACCUUCUUCUUGCCAUCGAUAUUCUUUGGAGGGGAGAUUAGAGCCGUUUGAAGAGAUUUGUGAAAUCUUUCGGGAUUUCAAGGAUCUUUAGGACUUAUCCUUUAAUUCUUGCUGUUUUCGAUUUCUUUCUUUACUUUUCUUUGCUUAUACUUGUGCCAAUUUAUCAUCUAAUAUUUUGCUGUUCUUGUUUGUUUUCCAGCAUUGAUUAAACUCAAGAUCUCAUCGUUUAAGUUGUUCUCCUAUUGGCAGCACCCAUUCGAACCCAAAAAUCCCCAAUUCCUAGGGUUUGGCCGAUUGGAUCUCUUUCAAUUUGGGGAUCAAUUGAUUGCUGGAAAUUAGGCAUUCUUGGCCGAAUCAAUCCCUUGGUAGAUUCGCAUCCUUUCCAUACUUUCAAUUCCGUUUGAUUCAUUUUUUUCUAUUUCUUUGUUUCUUGCUGCUCUUUUAAUUGAAUUUGGGGGAUUUCAAUUCAAUUCUGAUUUGUUUUUAAUCUUGUUCUUUGUUUUGAUUUCAGAUCUGAUUUGUCUAGAGCUUUCAUAGGAGUUUCUCGUGACUUGGCAACUCGAUCUUGGUCCACGCGCAACCCCGUAUCAAUACUCCUAAAGUCUAAAAAUUAAAUUAAAUAAUUAAAAUUUUUACAAAUUGGGCCACUUUAACAAUUUGGCCUGAUUUUCAACUAAGUAUGGUUUGACUUUUUGGUUGGGCUUGGAAUCCUCUUAUUGGGCCUUGCUUUCAAGAACCUCGGCUUGUAGUCCAUCUCCUACCGAAAUUGGCUCGUUGAUGCUCGUAACAGAGAUCCAAUGUGCUUUGGCUGUAAGAUUCGAUUUCUUGGACCAAGAUUUCCAAGAUUUGAAAUCUUGAUUUUCUUGAUUCUUGAAAUCGCUCCCAACAGCAAAAUUGGGCCAAGAUUCGAUUUCUUGAUUUUCUCUUUCUUUCGUGUACGCAUCUAAGGCCUUUGUUGAUACGAGCUCGUUUCGAAAGAUGUAACGAGUCGUAAUAAUUCCUGAUCAAAAUUAGAUAAUAUCGAUUUAAUACAAAUUCAGUUCUUGAGUUUUGAAGGUGGAAUAACUUAGGAAACGAAGGUGUUUAACGGUAUGAUAUUUGCUGGUUUCCAAUGAAACAAGAACGAACCCUUAUUAGCAAAUAAGGGCCUGGGCUAACAUCAUUUCAAAGAAAAGAAAGGAUUAAGGAUAAAACCGAGACCCACUAUUUAGUGAAAUAGGAACCUUCGGUAUGAAGAACGCCAUACCAAUAGGUGAUAAGUUCAAAAACAAAGUCAGAUUGACGCCACCUGUGAAGAUAAGUCAAUUGAGCUUUGGAUAAUAAGGAGAGUGAAUUAACUCAUCAAAAAUAUAGUUCAUUCAAAAAUUUGGCAAAAAGUCCUUUUACAAGAAAAUCAUCAACUAUUUAUAGCUUAAGUGCUGGUAACCGAAUGGAAAAUUUAAAGCUUAAAAACUAAGCAAAACAUUGAACUAAUAUUUAGCUAAAAUUCAUGCAUGAGCUUGUAUCAAGGUUCAGCUGAAUAGAGACCAAAGAAUAGCUUCCAAUGAACUUUGGAAAUUAGCAGCAGCUACAUUCAGCUAAUGGAGUUUAAUGAGGUAAUUCAUGAAGCAACUCUUUGAUACGAGUCACAAAGGCCCAACCCAAGCUUAAGAAGGUGAUGGGCUCAAAUCAAGAAAAUCAAGAUUCACUUUCUUGUUUUCAAGAAAAUCAAGAAAUCGAAUCUUGGCCCAAUUUUGCUGUUCGGAGCGAUUUCAAGAAUCAAGAAAAUCAAGAUUUCAAAUCUUGGAAAUCUUGGUCCAAGAAACCGAAUCUUGCAGCCAGAACGCAUUGGAUCUCCAUUACGAGCGUCAACGACCCAAAUUUGGUAGGAGAUGGAUCACGAGCCCAAAUUCUUGAAGGCGAGGCCCAAUAACCAAAAUCCAGCCCAAUCAAGAAAUUUCUUCAUACUUAGUUGAAAAUCAGGCCAAAAUAUCAAAGGGCCCAAUUUGUAAACAUCUUACUUGUUUAAUUUAAUUUUUUAAUCUUUAGGAGCAUUACAUGUAAAAUUCGGCCCAAAACAGCCCAUAUAAGUGCAUGGCCGAAUUUACCUUGUUAUUUUAUUAAUUAGGUUUAAUUUUUUAUUAGUUACUUGUGAGAUUAGGAUUUGUUGGAGGCCUAUAUAAGCAUUGGCCAGCCACCCUUUGUAAAAAGAUCUUAUUAUUAUUUUUUUUAUCAAAUUUCAGAUUUGUUGAGUGCAGAAUUUUCUUUGGGGUUUUCUCCAAGAAUUCUCUCUUGAGUUUUCUAUAGAAGUUGUUUUAACAACCUUUUGAUUGUGGGAGCCAUCUUCAACCUUCUUCUUGCCAUCGAUAUUCUUUGGAGGGGAGAUUAGAGCCGUUUGAAGGAAUUUGUGAAUUCUUUCGGGAAUUCAAGGGUUCUUAGGACUUUUCUUUAUUUCUUGCUGUUUCGAUUUGUUUCUUUAUUCCUACUUGUGCCGAUUCAUUAUCUAAUCUUUUUUUGCUGUUCUUGCUUGUGUUUCAGCUUUGUUUAACUCCAAGAUCCUUCCAUUUAAUCGGUCUACUUUUGGGCAGUAAAGUUUCGAACCAAAAUCCCUAAAUCCUAGGGUUCUUGUCGAUUAAUACAUUCUGAUUUUGGGGAAAUCAAGUUGCUGGAAUUUGGGGUUUUUAUUGUCGGUUUGUUCUUGGGCAGAUUCGGCUUGUGGGAUUUCACUAUUGGAGUUCGACUUCAUCUUCUUGAACUCCGAAUACAUUUAUUCAUUAGUUCUUUGUUCCUUGCUGCUCAUUUAAUUGAAUUUGGGGAUUUAAUUUCAGAUCUGAUUAGUUUAAUCUUGUUCUUUGUUUUAAUUUGUAGAUCUGUUCGUCUAGGAUCUUUCGUAGGAGUUUCUCGUGACUUGGAAACUCGAUCUUGGUCCGCUUGCAUUCCUUAUCAUUUGGUAUCAGAUUUUGGGCGUUUUGGGUGUUCUUGGUUGAUUUCUAAACUGAUCUCAAUUUUUUAAAGCAAAAACAGCAGUUUUACCCAGAAAAAUCUUUCAAAAAAAAUUAAUUUGAGUGGGUAAACGUUGUCAAAUUGAUCUUAAAUUUUACAUACAUAUUUUUGGCACUGUUAUUGAAUAUAAAAAAAUUAUUCCCACAAAAAAAUCAGUCAAAAAAGUCAAAAAAUUGAAAAAAUACGAAAUCCAAUAAAAAUUUUAAAAAAUAUUCAGCGGGUUGAGUUUGGUGCCCAAAAUUUCCAGAUCAAAAAUCAAAUAUAUAAGGACACUCCAGAUUUAAUUUCGUGAUUUUUGGAGAUCGGGAACACCUCGAACAAGUUGUCAAGUUACUCCGCAGUUUUUCAGGUUUUCUGUUUUCAGCAAUUUUUAUUGAUUAUUAGCUGUAGGUUUUCAUUUGUUUGCAUUUUAUUCUCCUUUUACAAUAUCUAACACCUUCUUGUUUCUUGUGUUAGUAGGAUUUAAACGUGUGCACAAUCCUUCCUCGGUGCAACACGAAUCACUUGGUGUCUCGUCAGUUUUUGGCAUCCUAGUGCAAAUUAGGAUUCUUUGGUAGUUUAGUUCACACUCUCUAAUUGGUUGAUAUAAACUCUGAUAAAGAACUCACAAGAUUGAAUUCGACCUCAUUGAGAAUUUGAUUUUUC
rnacentral:lncRNA from 1 species